AUUGAACGCUAGCGGGAUGCUUUACACAUGCAAGUCGAACGAGAGGCGGACGGGUGAGCAAGAUAUCGGCACGUGCCCAGUAGCGGGGGAUAACUAAUCGAAAGAGAGGCUAAUACCGCAUACUAUUGGAGAGGCCGAUAUCGGAUUGGGUAGUGGGUGGGGUAAAGGCUCACAAAGGCCACGAUCCGUAGCUGGGUUGAGAGGACAACCAGCCACACUGGGACUGAGACACGGCCCAGACUCCUACGGGAGGCAGCAGUGGGUAAUAUUGGACAAUGGGGGAAAGCCUGAUCCAGCCAUGCCGCGUGUAUGAGAAGGCCUUCGGGUUGUAAAGUACUUUUGGCUGGGAGGCGGUAUCAGCAGAAUAAGCACCGGCUAACUACGUGCCAGCAGCCGCGGUAAUUC
rnacentral:rRNA from 1 species